rnacentral:rRNA from 1 species
AUGCAUUAUUUUGAAUCAAUAAAAUCCAUCUUUCGCCGGGAAAAAAAUAUCAACAACAACGGAACUUGUAAGUUAAAAUUUCCAUAUUACGGUUCCGGGGACAAAGGGAAAACAUUAGUUCCACCAUGCAUUAGCGUGCGUGAUGCUCUGCUUGUUUGUUUGUUGUGCAGGAACGGAGCCGACGUGAGAGGCUACUUUGCCUGGGCAUUCAUGGACCUGUUCGAGCUCCUGGCCGGGUACCAGUCGAGGUACUGGCUGCACCGCGUCGACUUCGCCGACGAGAGGCGGCCGCGGCAGGCCAGGCUCUCGGCUCGCUGGUACUCCAGCUUCCUCAAGCGCAACGGAACCACUGCACUCGUUUCUAGGACGGCGGAGAAGCAGGAGCUGAGGGCCGUGUCCUGA